AUAUUAUCUGGCAGGGGAGAUACCUGAUCACAAAGGCAGUUUUCCCAGGGCGAGGCUUAUCCACUGCACUCCGGACAUGCUGACCCCUGCGAUUUCCCCAAGUGUGGGAAACUUGACUGAAGGAUUUGUGGUAGUGGGGGCUGUGUUCAUGCUCUCCCCUA